GACGAACGCUGGCGGCGUGCCUAAUACAUGCAAGUAGAACGCAGUUGCGAAAGGGUGAGUAACGCGUAGGUACCUGCCUCAUAGCGGGGGAGAACUAUUGGACACGAGAGCUAAAAACCCAUAUUGUGAGAUGGACAUGCGUUGUUUUAGCUAGUUGGUGAGGUAAAGGCGCACCAAGGCGACGAUACAUAGCCGACCUGAGAGGGUGAUCGGCCACCAUGGGACUGAGACACGGCCCAGACUCCUACGGGAGGCAGCAGUAGGGAAUCUUCGGCAAUGGACGGAAGUCUGACCGAGCAACGCCGCGUGAGUGAAGAAGGUUUUCGGAUCGUAAAGCUCUGUUGUUAGAGAAGCGGUACCUAACCAGAAAGGGACGGCUAACUACGUGCCAGCCGCCGCGGUAAUUC
rnacentral:rRNA from 1 species